GCAGUGCCACGGCUUGUCGCCGGUGUCUUUGUGACACAGGAGGAAAGUCCGGGCAGCGCAGGGUGCUCCACUUCCGAAAGUAGAAGCUAUUGGUGACAGUAGGAGACGGCAGAAGAAAACAACCGCCAUAUAUAUAAUGUGGUAAGGGUGAGAAGGUGGUGUAAGAGACCACCAGCCGGCGGGCGAUCGCCGGGCUGUGCCAUCUGGAGGCUGCAAGUUCGCGUAAACCAUCGUCUGAGGGUUACCCGCCCGACUUAUUCCGAUGGAGGGUAGAACGCUUGAGCCGCAGGGUGACUUGCGGAGUAGAUAAAUGACAGGCACCGACGUGAUUGCCGAGAGGUCAUGGCGGAACAGAACCCGGCUUACAGGGGCACUGCUUUC
rnacentral:RNase_P_RNA from 1 species